UACAGAGGUCUCAAGCGUUGUUCGGAUUCAUUGGGCGUAAAGGGUGCGUAGGUGGCGCUGUAAGUCGGGUGUGAAAUUUCGGAGCUUAACUCCGAAACUGCAUUCGAUACUGCGGUGCUUUGAGGACUGGAGAGGAGACUGGAAUUCAUGGUGUAGCAGUGAAAUGCGUAGAGAUCAUGAGGAAGACCAGUGGCGAAAGGCGGGGUCUCUGGACAGUUCCUGACACUGAGGCACUGAAGGCCAGGGGAGCAAACGGG
rnacentral:rRNA from 1 species